rnacentral:snoRNA from 1 species
AUGCAUCUCUGACGGACCUGAAACAGUUAAUAUCUGCGGCUGAAGUUUCCACUACAGAUGGAAGAAAAAGAAGGUCCUCGUGCUUUCUGUCUGUCUGGUUAUGGCAGCCAAGCUUGAGUGGGGAAUACAGGA